rnacentral:rRNA from 1 species
GACAGAGGGGGCAAGCGUUGCUCGGAAUUACUGGGCGUAAAGGGCGCGUAGGCGGGAUGGCAAGUCGGUCGUGAAAUCCCUCGGCUCAACCGAGGAACGUCGAUCGAUACUGCUGUUCUUGAGGAUUGCAGAGGAGACUGGAAUUCCCGGUGUAGCGGUGAAAUGUGUAGAGAUCGGGAGGAACACCGGUGGCGAAGGCGGGUCUCUGGGCCGAAACUGACGCUGAGGAGCGAAAGCGUGGGGAGCAAACAGGG